ACAACAUUCAAUUAUUUUCCGAUAUAGAAACAAAAAUAUCUUAACGAUUUAUACUAAUUGAUUUUGUAGCUUUCCUUUCAAAAUGCAUGGAUUUUGCAUUAACUAAAACACCGUAAAACACGCAAUAAUAUCUUAUAAACCAUAAUUCUAUCCUAGCAUAUUUCAUAAGCUCCUAACAAAAAUUUAUUCACCUUCCGAAAUUGUGAUAUUUCCAAAGAUAUUACCUACUUGCUCACCAAGCUUAUUUCUAAGCACUCACAUAACACCCUAUUUUCUCAUUAACACUAUAAAUAGUUCUCUUUCACGGCAGCUCAUAACAAAAGCAAAACCAAAAGCUUAGUUCCUAUCAAUUGUUUUGUUUCUUAUACAAUCUGUACUUAUUUAUUUUUGUUUAUAACUAUCGCAGAUUCAAGAUCCAAAAGCAUUGUAAUGGUCAUGUCACAACAAUGCUCCAAAACAAAAGACUAUCAAGAAGACAACAUAAGGCUGAAGAUGUUUAUUUUUAAUGGCUAUUAUAUUUUCUAAAGGAUGUUUUUCGUUAGUCUUAUUCUCAGUUCUAAAGGAAAGAUGACAUAAAGGUUUAAUGAUUGUGUGUAUUCCACAUGGUUAAGAACAUAAGCUAAUCUACAGAGUAAAGUACCUAUGAAUUUUUCAUGUUAAAAGUAUGAUACAGUGAAGUGUAUUUUUACCAACCUGCGAUUAAUUACAAAGCAAACAAAUGAUUCUUUA